UGGAGACACGUACACGAUGAAGUCUGUGCUCUCACCUGACAGUAAACAGUACUGGUGUUGGGCUGUCAGAGAUGAUCCACCUGAUUACUCAGAGGUCAGCAAUAUUGUGACAGUGAAAGUUCGCGCUGGAUUAAAUAUGACACUGAAAAUGAGGAAUGAGAGGAAACCCGUACACAUUGGAGAGAAUGUGACUCUGGAAUGCAGCAUUGAUGAAGCCUUCCUACCGAGAGAUAUAAAUGGAGGAAAUGGAGCCGGACAGAUGGAAUUAGAUGGCUUCAAUAUGGAGACACUUUUCUAAUUCGGUCUGUGACUCAUUCUGAUAGUGGAGCGUACUGGUGUUAUGUUUCAUCAUUGGUACAACCCAGUAAUGUUUUUCUCCUGACUGUUCAAGUGACACAAAAAGUGAAUCUGAAGAUAAAGAAUCCAAAGGUCCCAUUUUACACUGGUGAUGACGUGACUCUGGAGUGCAGCAGUGACAGUAACUUAUCUGACUGGACAUAUCGUUGGUACCACUGGAGCGAGGCAGGCAUGUGGAAUGAGCUUAAGAACUUCACCGAAGACACUUACACUCUCCAGUCUGUGACUCAGUCCGAUGGUGGAAAGUACUGGUGUUACGCUUUCACAGACAAUCCUCUGCAUUACACAGAGUUCAGCAAUGCUGUGAUACUGACUGUUCAAGUGGGGUAUUCAACAGAAAAUGCAAUUCGAAUCGGAUUAUCAUUUCUGGUGCUAAUUGUGCUGCUGGUCCUCACGAGUGACUGCUUCUGGGUCAGAGUGCUCUCCGCCUGCAGAUCUGCUGAGGGGGACAAAGUGAUCUGAGCCUUUGAACGAGACGGGUGGUCCCAGAGAUGACAUAUCUGGACCUAAAUGACGAUGGCUUCAAUUCCUGUUAACAGUGAAAGAACAGAAGUGAACUCGAGGACAACGAUCUGCAGGCUUCAUGUCCACACUCUUUGCAUUAUUAUUUACAUUUAUUUGCUCAGCAAACUCUUUUAUCCAAAGGGACUUCCAAAAAAGGUCAACAUAAUCAAGUAAAUAUGUAGGACUGUUUGGGAACGAGUGUGACAGGACAAGGCUACAAAAUUAAUCAAACUGGACAGCUUACAUCAUUGGCUUUUCAGAUGUUUCAAAACUGUUAGACUUUAAUUUUGUAAUUUUUUAAAUAUACAUUUUUUAAUUAUUUUUCUCUGUUGCA